CUGGUUUCGUGGUUCAAGGAAACUUAUUCAAAUUCGACGUCAAGGUGAGAGACCUAGAGUAAACUUAUUCAAACGGUGAAAGACACGUGAAAGUCCAAGAAAUACGAACUGGGCCGGCCUGCUAACACACUCGCAGGCCCUCUUGCAUCCUUUGCAAGUACACAGCUACGGCAAUCGCGAAACCGCCACCGCGGUGUCUCAUCGUCCUCGCCGCCGCCUCGUCAGUCGUCGCCGCCACUGCGCCACCCCGCCGCGCACGGCAGGUCGUCGCUGUGGCUUGGACGGCGAACUCUCUCGACGUUUCCACCGUUCUCGUUCGGGGCCUACGGGCCGAGGGGGCUUAGGUAGAAUGAAGCCAAUGCGCACUCGGGAUCAUGGUGCGGCCGAGGUGUUCGACGAAAUGCCUCCCCGGCUGGGGUGGGGGGGGGGGGGGGGUCAGUCCGUCCCAGAGCGGCGCGUUGCAGCGACGGAGUGAUUCGGGGAGACAUCCAGGGCGCUGCUGCUCCGCCGGUGCCGGUCCCUUGACGCCCUUGUCGCAUUCCUGCGUGCCUACUACGCACCGUCCUACCUGUCGGCUGAGGACGCCAUGCGGAUGAUCGACGAGCACGCCGGGAUCCCACUCUGCUCAUAGCUGCAGCUCAUCCUUGCGCUCAGUACCUCAUCACUGAUUUGAUGCUAUGCUGCCCAGUGCCAUUGUCCAAAGCACCUAGUGGCUGCUAUGGCUGUGAGAUUGAAGGGUUUAAUCUGGUGCACCCUGACACCGAAGAUUUCUAUGGGCACCUGGCUCAACAUGAAGGUGAUGCCUAUUUCUGUAAGAGAAUUCCUGCUCAAGAGUUCAGCAAUCCAUUAUAUGAGGAUUGUGUACUCUUUGAGCCUUGAACACUAAAUAUUGUGUAGCUUUUCGUAGAUAACUUACUCUGGUAGGGAUCAUGAUGAGAUUGACUUCUCUUUUGGCUAUUCUGCUCUGGUUCGACAUUCUGUACAGAUUUUAGUUCUCCCUUUGAUUUCACAAUGUCUGUCAAUAGCGUGUUUAAGAUACAGUGAUCUAGCUUAGUAGUAGAUUCUUGUAAAAUAUGCAAAUAUAAAUGACUUGGAUGAAUAAGAAUUAUAUUGUUCGUGUACAUUCGUUGCAACAUGGUAAUAUGUUCUUAUUCAUGUUGUUGGUUACUUUUGCGAGUUGUGGCAAAGUUGAAUGUUUCCUUCGGUAGGGGAUAAAUAUAAGCUCUAAGUUCAGUUAAACUUCACUUAUCUUAUGGCAUAUAAGUGCAAGCGUGUGUAUAUUUCUUGUGUUACUUAAGCCUCCUAUAUUUCUGCAUAAUUGAUAUCCUAACAGUUAAGAUUUAUCGACAAUAACUUCAGGAAAGAUUCAAUUCUGAGUCUAUUUUGCCUGGGCCACUAGAUGAGGAUUGGAUUUUUAGAUAAUGAAAUGAGGAUUGGAUUUUUAGAUAAUGAAAUGAGGAUUGGAUGCCUAACAAACACUAUGAGACUGCAAGUUUCUUGGAGACAACUUUUACUGCUAGCAAUUGUCAAAAUGACAUUGACCUAUCUUUUGGCUGUUUUAGGUCAGUUUGGAGAUUUAUAACCUGAAGUCAUCUGUAUUGUAGGUGAUUGUAAAUAUUGUAGAAGCCCAUGUAGAGGCACAAACUACUUUAUUUUUGGCUUUUGGAAAUCUAAUUUGACCUUAUGGAGAAAGUUAGGCCAUCCUUAGCUUAUAAUAUUGCUAUUGUAGUCCAAUGCAUGUUCAAAAGUAGCAUCAGUAUACUAAACAGAACAGAUACUUAUUCUACUGCUUUGUAUUUUUCAGGUAAGAUCCACCUUGGACUAGUCCAUGCUAUAUGGCUACAACAACGCAGGCAUUGCAGUAGUUCUCUGAUAGGGAAACCAACUUAUUAGUUCUAUUCUGUUAAUGUUCUUCAGAGUUCAAAUACCUUAAUGAAGAGCUUUCUUAUAAAGAGGGAGAAUUUUUACUAUUCAUUUUGUUAUUAUUCAUGUCAACUAUGGAGGUGAUGAGGAAAAUAUACCCUGGCCAGGAUAUAGGAUGAACCUGUCCCACUUUUUUAUCUUUAGUGUACCUCUCCAACCACUACCAAGGCUAACAUGGUGGCCUAGUAUAUAUCAGACCAGGAAAUGGGGGAGGAGUGUUCUAAGGAAAUACACCUAGUACAGGUACCAACAAAAAUGUGUUAGUGGGCCCAUAUGUCAGUGAAAGGUGGGUUCUAUACUUUAAAGGGUGCUAAACACUAGAGGGAAGAACAAACUUAGUGUUUGUACUGUGGCACUUCUUUGCAUUGGUACAUUGAGUACAACAUUGUGCAUGCCAUGUAAGCCCUUCAAUGAUCAAAGCACACCUCAAGUUCAUUUCAUUGGAAAAUGAUCAUUAAAUCUUCAGCAUUUAAUUUGUCAAUAUUUUUAUCAUGCAUAUCUGUCUUUCAUAGUUAUUGAUGCAUGUGUAACUGAUUAUGAUAACUUGCAAUCUGUUUAGUUUAAAAACUUACAAUUUCUUAUGCACAAGAUGUUUGGCAGGGUGCGCCAGGCUGGUGAGCACGCAAGUUAACAACACAACUGCUAUAUUUUCAAACAUAUCUUUCAGGCAUCAACUCUGCUGACUGCCUGAUCAGCUCUACCAAAAUAUGGAUCUGCAAACGCAAAUGUCAUAUGUUGGCAGUUCUUUUAAAGAAAAACAGAUGUGCAGGAAAAUUGUGAGCAAACUCGUAAGGUAAAUAGCAGUCUCUGCUUCUCCGGUAAAUGUAGUUGAUUUUCUCAUGGAAAUAUGGCAAAAUGAUGUUUACAUUGUUUUACGCUGGAGGUCUAGUCUCCAGCUUUAAUAAAAUCAAAUGGUGCAAUCUUCUAAUGAGAUGGAUUGUUUUCCAUCUCCAGAUUCACAUAUACUACAUUAAGCUUUUAGCUCAAUGCUUUCUCGUUCCCAAACUGUUUAUGCUUUUAUGUAUUUCACCAUAUAUACUCCAAAUCCUUAAGAAGGUGAUUGUGUUGGGGACCCAAUGAAGGCUUUUUGUGAUUCUAUGAAGUUUUAGUAAUACACUUGGUACGAAUUAUAAUGUAGUUCAUGACAUAACUCAAAUAAAAUUUAGCUAGUGAUCGAGCUUUUCACUGCAAUAUAAUCUGCAGCUUGUCAAGUGGCAUCAGUGAGAGCAUGACAGGGCACCACGCCAUUAGAGCUUUACUUGCUUGGCUGUGCUCUGCUCACCAUUGCCAUGCACUCCAUUUCUUGCUAAGUGCUAACCCAUUCUGGAUUUGUUUAUCUUCAAAUCCUGAACGUACCAUUGCUUUCUCCUAGAGCUACUGGCUAAAAAAAAAGAUGGAUAAAUUAAAUUUGGUAGGUACUGGCACUUUGAAAGUACAAGCACUGGACCAAUAUCAACUGGUUUUUACCAGAGUAGUGCACUCCCCUAAUUGUCCUUUGACCUUGAAUUUUAUAAUUGAAGUCAUUUCCUAUCCUCCACUGCUGAUAUCAGUCGAUGGCCUUUGCACUACCAAAAGAAGUUUCACUAGACAGCCAUUCCUCAAACAUAAUGGUGUUUGGCUAGACAACCAUUCCUGGAACAGAAUCUUUGUAAUAUUAAAUUAUGCAUGUUUUAUGAUGGAACAAGUGAUCCCGAAAUGUGCAAAUCCACAUGUAAAAUAUUAUAUAUCUAAAUAAGUGAUUGUCUAGUGAAGCUACUGUUUCAGCCAAAAAAUCCUCUUGCAACCAAGGGGAUUUCCUUGGGCAAAACAGCCUCAUGAAAAACCAUUUGUUCUUCCUAUGUUAAUAACAUGUAGUACAAUCUAGCCCAAAGACCACAAUGUUCCAUAGCCAUGCAAUGACCUCUUUUUCCUUUUCUAUGAUUGUCGUACAUUUCCUUCCUUUCAAACAUAAAAUUUCUUCUUCCAAAAAUCAUUAUUAAUUACAGAAAUAUAAAAUACUUUUCAUAUUAACCCGGCUAAAAGUACUUUUCAUAUUUCUUCUAUUAUGCAUAACAAAUUAGAUAAAUAGCCAUCUUACAUAAAAAUCAUUAUUAAUUACAGUAAUAUAAAAUACUUUUCAUAUUAACCUGGAUAAAAGUACUUUUCAUAUUUCUUCUAUUAUGCAUAACAAAUUAGAUAAAUAUCCAUAUUACUUUUUUUUAGAGAAGGGUUUUUUUUUUUUACCUAGCCUCUACAUCCAACCGGAUGUAUGUAGCCAUUUUAAAUUGGGAACUUAGCCCAUUAAACAACCUAAUAAUUCUCUCCUAUGGAGAUUUGAACUAAGGACCUUGCGGUGCAACGCAAGUCACUGCAACCACUAGACUACAUGCCCUUUCGCAGGCAUCUUACAUAUACAACUUGUAUUGCUUUAUAUUACUAAAAGUCCAUGCAAACAACACACAGGGUAUCAUCUAUAUUAUGUACCUUUCCAAACUGUAGCAAGAAAUUGAUUUUAUUACAUACGACUUACAAGGUAAUAUGGAUACAUGUGUGUUGUACCAUAUAUACACGUGUUAGAACUCGUGCGACCUGUUUUACUUCAUUUCAGAAUACAAUGUAUUUUCCUCCAAAAAAUAAUACGACGUGUUUGCACCUUUUUCUUUUUUUUGAGAACUCAAGGAAGGCCCAAGUGCGCCACCUUUCAGAAAUAAUACAUUCAUGUGCGCCACCUCAGCCGUUUUCAGAAGGAAUAUAUGGAAAAGUAUUGUCGACCAUCGUUCUUCCCAUGUCAGUGAGCUUGGCUGGGCAUACGGUGAUCCUCAACCCACAAGACUUUAGAGACGGAUGGGGGUGUUCCAGAUACAUGGUCAGGCCUAUUGUGCAUCAUCCGCCUUUCGAGUUGCUGGCCUUCAUUUUUAUCCUUGCUACCAAUCAAUCUUAAUAAAGGUUGCACUCAGGUAGAAAAGUACAGAAACUGGUAAAGAUGUCUCAAUUCCCAACAGUCUUUUCUCCAUUUCUCUGUUCCUUCCAAUGACAAUUACACCCAAGGACAAGACAGUAAGGUCAAACAAAAACCAUCUUUAUUUCCUUAACAAGACUGAAGGAAAUGCUUUUUUUUUUUUAGAAAAAGAAACCUCACACGCAAGCACAAACUAAAGUUAGACUCCUGCACGGCUUUACUAGCUUAGCUCCAUGGCCAACAGCCGAUCGACCUCACCGGCCAAUCUUUGAAGCCGGAGAUGAGCAUGGGUGCACCCUCUCACUGGUCCAUGAGUGGCAACUCUUCUCAUCAGCAGCCAUGAACUUGUUCUUCUCCUCCUCUUCUCCUUCACACAUGCCCUUCUUGCUCUUCUCCUCCUCUUCUGCCAUCAUCUUCUUCAUCUUCUCUUCAUUGGUCCUCCUGCACCUGUCCUGCUGCACAUGAAUCUGUGCAUAGCUGAAUCCUAUGGAAGCCAUGCUGAUUUAGAGGGACAAGAAUGAUGCAGACUUGUUGUGGUUAAGUGUGUUUGGGUAGAGA